rnacentral:rRNA from 1 species
AUUGAACGCUGGCGGCAUGCCUUACACAUGCAAGUCGAACGGUAGAGUAGCAAUACUUGAGAGUGGCGAACGGGUGAGUAAUAUAUCGGAACGUGCCCAGUCGUGGGGGAUAACGUAGAGAAAUUUACGCUAAUACCGCAUACGAUCUAAGGAUGAAAGCGGGGGAUUCGCAAGAACCUCGCGCGAUUGGAGCGGCUGAUAUCAGAUUAGGUUGUUGGUGAGGUAAAAGCUCACCAAGCCGACGAUCUGUAGCUGGUUUGAGAGAACGACCAGCCACACUGGGACUGAGACACGGCCCAGACUCCUACGGGAGGCAGCAGUGGGGAAUUUUGGGACAAUGGGCGAAAGCCUGAUCCAGCAAUGCCGCGUGCAGGAAGAAGGCCUUCGGGUU